CCCUUAGAUGUUCUGGGCCGCACGCGCGUUACAAUGAAUCGUUCAACAGGUUUCUUCCUCAGUCGAAAGGCUUGGGUAAUCCUUUAAAUACGGUUCGUGCUAGGGAUAGAUUUUUGCAAUUAUUAAUCUUGAACGAGGAAUAUUUAGUAAACGCAGGUCAUCAGCCUGCAUUGAUUACGUCCCUGCCCUUUGUACACACCGCCCGUCGCACCAACCGAUUGGAUGUUUUGUUGAAAUAUGUGGAUGCUUGUUGGGUGAAUUUAUUUUUGCCCGAUAGACAGAAACGUAUUAAAACUGAAUAUCUAGAGGAUGGUGAAGUCGUAACA
rnacentral:rRNA from 1 species